rnacentral:pre_miRNA from 1 species
CUCGGGGAGGGGGGGGUUCCCUCAGCCCGGAUUGUGAGAGGGCACAGGCCAGGCUGAGAGACCCCACCGGUGCAUG